UACGGAGGGGGCUAGCGUUGUUCGGAAUUACUGGGCGUAAAGCGCACGUAGGCGGCUUUGUAAGUUAGAGGUGAAAGCCCAGGGCUUAACCCUGGAAUUGCCUUUAAGACUGCAUCGCUAGAAUUGUGGAGAGGUAAGUGGAAUUCCGAGUGUAGAGGUGAAAUUCGUAGAUAUUCGGAAGAACACCAGUGGCGAAGGCGACUUACUGGACACAUAUUGACGCUGAGGCGCGAAAGCUAGGGGAGCAAACGGG
rnacentral:rRNA from 1 species